rnacentral:rRNA from 1 species
GAUGAACGCUAGCGGCAGGCUUAACACAUGCAAGUCGAGGGGUAACAGGGUAGCUUGCUAUUGCUGACGACCGGCGCACGGGUGCGUAACGCGUAUAGAAUCUACCUUAUACAGGGGGAUAGGCUUUAGAAAUGAAGAUUAAUACCCCAUGGUUUUAUUGAUUGGCAUCAAUUGAUGAAUAAAGAUUUAUUGGUAUAAGAUGACUAUGCGUCCUAUUAGCUAGAUGGUAAGGUAACGGCUUACCAUUGCUACGAUAGGUAGGGGCCCUGAGAGGGGGAUCCCCCACACUGGUACUGAGACACGGACCAGACUCCUACGGGAGGCAGCAGUGAGGAAUAUUGGUCAAUGGAUGAGAAUCUGAACCAGCCAUGCCGCGUGUAGGAAGACUGCCCUAUGGGUUGUAAACUACUUUUAUACAGGAAGAAACAGUCGUACGAGUACGGCCUUGACGGUACUGUAAGAAUAAGCACCGGCUAACUCCG